CAACCUCUGGCAAAAGAUGUGAAUGUUG
rnacentral:ncRNA from 1 species